rnacentral:tRNA from 1 species
GAGCGUAUAGCUCAGUGGUGGAGCGCAUGCUUAGCAUGCAGGAGGUCCCGGGUUCAAUCCCUAGCACCUCCA